rnacentral:rRNA from 1 species
GGUUAAGCGACUAAGCGUACACGGUGGAUGCCCUGGCAGUCAGAGGCGAUGAAGGACGUGCUAAUCUGCGAUAAGCGUCGGUAAGGUGAUAUGAACCGUUAUAACCGGCGAUUUCCGAAUGGGGAAACCCAGUGUGAUUCGUCACACUAUCAUUACGUGAAUACAUAGCGUAAUGAAGCGAACCGGGGGAACUGAAACAUCUAAGUACCCCGAGGAAAAGAAAUCAACCGAGAUUCCCCCAGUAGCGGCGAGCGAACGGGGAGCAGCCCAGAGUCUGAAUCAGCUUGUGUGUUAGUGGAACGGUCUGGAAAGUCCGACGGUACAGGGUGAUAGUCCCGUACACCAAAAUGCACAGGUUGUGAACUCGAAGAGUAGGGCGGGACACGUGGUAUCCUGUCUGAAUAUGGGGGGACCAUCCUCCAAGGCUAAAUACUCCUGACUGACCGAUAGUGAACCAGUACCGUGAGGGAAAGGCGAAAAGAACCCCGGCGAGGGGAGUGAAAAAGAACCUGAAACCGUGUACGUACAAGCAGUGGGAGCAUCCUUUUGGGUGUGACUGCGUACCUUUUGUAUAAUGGGUCAGCGACUUAUAUUCUGUAGCAAGGUUAACCGUAUAGGGGAGCCGAAGGGAAACCGAGUCUUAACUGGGCGUUAAGUUGCAGGGUAUAGACCCGAAACCCGGUGAUCUAGCCAUGGGCAGGUUGAAGGUUGGGUAACACUAACUGGAGGACCGAACCGACUAAUGUUGAAAAAUUAGCGGAUGACUUGUGGCUGGGGGUGAAAGGCCAAUCAAACCGGGAGAUAGCUGGUUCUCCCCGAAAGCUAUUUAGGUAGCGCCUCGUGAACUCAUCUUCGGGGGUAGAGCACUGUUUCGGCUAGGGGGUCAUCCCGACUUACCAACCCGAUGCAAACUGCGAAUACCGAAGAAUGUUAUCACGGGAGACACACGGCGGGUGCUAACGUCCGUCGUGAAGAGGGAAACAACCCAGACCGCCAGCUAAGGUCCCAAAGUCAUGGUUAAGUGGGAAACGAUGUGGGAAGGCACAGACAGCCAGGAUGUUGGCUUAGAAGCAGCCAUCAUUUAAAGAAAGCGUAAUAGCUCACUGGUCGAGUCGGCCUGCGCGGAAGAUGUAACGGGGCUAAACCAUGCACCGAAGCUGCGGCAGCGACACUAUGUGUUGUUGGGUAGGGGAGCGUUCUGUAAGCCGUUGAAGUGGAGGUAUCAGAAGUGCGAAUGCUGACAUAAGUAACGAUAAUGCGGGUGAAAAACCCGCACGCCGGAAGACCAAGGGUUCCUGUCCAACGUUAAUCGGGGCAGGGUGAGUCGACCCCUAAGGCGAGGCCGAAAGGCGUAGUCGAUGGGAAACAGGUUAAUAUUCCUGUACUUGGUGUUACUGCGAAGGGGGGACGGAGAAGGCUAUGUUAGCCGGGCGACGGUUGUCCCGGUUUAAGCAUGUAGGCGGAGGUUCCAGGUAAAUCCGGUACCUUUUUAACGCUGAGGUGUGAUGACGAGGCACUACGGUGCUGAAGUAACAAAUGCCCUGCUUCCAGGAAAAGCCUCUAAGCAUCAGGUAACACGAAAUCGUACCCCAAACCGACACAGGUGGUCAGGUAGAGAAUACCAAGGCGCUUGAGAGAACUCGGGUGAAGGAACUAGGCAAAAUGGUGCCGUAACUUCGGGAGAAGGCACGCUGAUAUGUAGGUGAAGUGAUUUACUCAUGGAGCUGAAAUCAGUCGAAGAUACCAGCUGGCUGCAACUGUUUAUUAAAAACACAGCACUGUGCAAACACGAAAGUGGACGUAUACGGUGUGACGCCUGCCCGGUGCCGGAAGGUUAAUUGAUGGGGUUAUCCGUAAGGAGAAGCUCUUGAUCGAAGCCCCGGUAAACGGCGGCCGUAACUAUAACGGUCCUAAGGUAGCGAAAUUCCUUGUCGGGUAAGUUCCGACCUGCACGAAUGGCGUAAUGAUGGCCAGGCUGUCUCCACCCGAGACUCAGUGAAAUUGAACUCGCUGUGAAGAUGCAGUGUACCCGCGGCAAGACGGAAAGACCCCGUGAACCUUUACUAUAGCUUGACACUGAACACUGGUCCUUGAUGUGUAGGAUAGGUGGGAGGCUUUGAAGUGUGGACGCCAGUCUGCAUGGAGCCAUCCUUGAAAUACCACCCUUUAAUGGCUGGUGUUCUAACGUGGACCCGUAAUCCGGGUUGCGGACAGUGUCUGGUGGGUAGUUUGACUGGGGCGGUCUCCUCCUAAAGAGUAACGGAGGAGCACGAAGGUUAGCUAAUCCUGGUCGGACAUCAGGAGGUUAGUGCAAAGGCAUAAGCUAGCUUGACUGCGAGAGUGACGGCUCGAGCAGGUGCGAAAGCAGGUCUUAGUGAUCCGGUGGUUCUGAAUGGAAGGGCCAUCGCUCAACGGAUAAAAGGUACUCCGGGGAUAACAGGCUGAUACCGCCCAAGAGUUCAUAUCGACGGCGGUGUUUGGCACCUCGAUGUCGGCUCAUCACAUCCUGGGGCUGAAGUAGGUCCCAAGGGUAUGGCUGUUCGCCAUUUAAAGUGGUACGCGAGCUGGGUUUAGAACGUCGUGAGACAGUUCGGUCCCUAUCUGCCGUGGGCGCUGGAGAAUUGAGGGGGGCUGCUCCUAGUACGAGAGGACCGGAGUGGACGCAUCACUGGUGUUCGGGUUGUCAUGCCAAUGGCAUUGCCCGGUAGCUAAAUGCGGAAGAGAUAAGUGCUGAAAGCAUCUAAGCACGAAACUUGCCCCGAGAUGAGUUCUCCCUGAGACUUUAAGUCUCCUGAAGGAACGUUGAAGACGACGACGUUGAUAGGUCGGGUGUGUAAGCGUAGCGAUACGUUGAGCUAACCGAUACUAAUGAACCGUGAGGCUUAACCUU